rnacentral:rRNA from 1 species
UACGUAGGGGGCUAGCGUUGUCCGGAUUUAUUGGGCGUAAAGAGCGUGUAGGCGGCCAGGUAGGUCUGGUGUGAAAACUCGAGGCUUAACCUCGAGAUGUCAUCGGAAACCAUCUGGCUAGAGUCCGGAAGAGGAGAGUGGAAUUCCUGGUGUAGCGGUGAAAUGCGCAGAUAUCAGGAAGAACACCAAUGGCGAAAGCAGCUCUCUGGGACGGUACUGACGCUGAGACGCGAAAGCGUGGGGAGCGAUCCGG